AACCUACUCCCAUUACAGAUGCUUAACGUGUUAAAAUAGUCUCACUCUGAUGCUUCCUAGUUUCAUAGAUGACUUGAUUUUACAUCAAUAAUACUCAAAGUGCUUAUUCUAAACACAUACAGGCAGUGCAGAUGGAGGCAAUUGUUUCUGCAGCAACAAGGGCCACGUGAAAGUGAUAGGGAAACCUCUACUCCAUCACCGCGUCCGCUCCUCAGCUCACUCUUGCUGUAGGCCUGAGUUUACUGCUUCAUGGUUUUGAGAGAUUGAAAAAUCCAACAAUCUACCUUUGAAUAUGGACCACAGAAAAGAUAUUUAAAAGUUCCCUUCCUAAGAUUGUCUGUGGAAUGACUUCAGAAGAGGAUCCAUCACACUGAAGGUGCAGAUCCUGACUCUAGAGAUCAGAGCUGCCUGACUGAGAGGUUGAUGGCUAUGGACACUCCAGGACAAGGCCCAUACCCUGUGUAACUUUGCAAGAGUGGAGCUGGACGUGCAGAACUACUUGCCUCAAAUACUGGCUCUGAAAGAUUGAAGGUCAUCCCCAAGCAUCUUUCAUAACCAUCAGCUUGUUAGAGCCCAGGUAGAAACACUAAGGUUUCAUUUGCGAGAGGCAGGGGAAGGCAGGAAACAGGGGAUUAAACUUUCAAGCUGCAAAUAAAAUAAACUCUGGCCUCAGUCCUCUGAAGAUCAGGAUGCCCAACCACCUAUUUCCUUCAGAAAGGGUGAAGAGUGGGCCCUCCUCACCCCUAGUGUGGCCAUAAUU
rnacentral:lncRNA from 1 species